rnacentral:rRNA from 1 species
UAGAAUUGACGGGGCCGCGACAAGCGUGGAGCAUGUGGUUUAAUUCGAAGCAACGCGAAGAACCUUACCUACCCUUGACAUGUCCGGAACUUGCCAGAGAUGGCUUGGUGUCCGAAAGGGAAUCGGAACACAGGUGCUGCAUGGCUGUCGUCAGCUCGUGUCGUGAGAUGUUGGGUUAAGUCCCGCAACGAGCCGCAACCCCUAUCAUUAGUUGCUACGCAAGGGCACUCUAAUGAGACUGCCGGUGACAAACCGGAGGAAGGUGGGGAUGACGUCAAGUCCUCAUGGCCCUUAUGGGUAGGGCUUCACACGUCAUACAAUGGUCGGUACAGAGGGUUGCCAAGCCGCGAGGCGGAGCCAAUCCCACAAAGCCGAUCGUAGUCCGGAUUGUUCUCUGCAACUCGAGAGCAUGAAGUCGGAAUCGCUAGUAAUCGCAGGUCAGCAUACUGCGGUGAAUACGUUCCCGGGUCUU